rnacentral:lncRNA from 1 species
GGGGUAACUUUGUAAAAUAGUAACCAAGUUUCACAUUUGUUUCAUUUAAGUCACUCAAUCUUUUUUUGUCUCCUUAAAAUCACUCAAGUUUCAUUUUGUGUUUCAAACAUAUACAAUUUCCAGGUUUCCAGGUUACCUUGAUGAUGUGUCAGGUCACAUUAAGAAAGAAUUAGUUUAACGCAGAUUAUAUAACAUUUUAACUUAAAAACUCAUCUUUAUCAUUUGCCUGGUACACUCGUUUAUCACCAUAUUCAAUUUACACAUACCACUUUUUUAAGUCUUUUAUAAUGAACCAUUUUCAUUUAUAUUUUUCAUCUAACUCCCACUCGUCGUCAUCAUGUUUAAAAAAUCCUUUCCCAAAGCAUAAAGGCAAAGUUGCCUAAAACAUACGACUCUGAGUUCCAGAGUCCACUUUGCAAGAAUAGAUUUACAGUGGAUUUGAUUUGGGAAAUGCUGAAUUAAUAUGGUUUAGAUAAUGGAUUUAUGAUCGACCUUGAUCUGGGAAUUCUUGAUGAGCUGAUGAAUUUGAUUUGAAAACUAUUUGAUUUCUAGGUAACCAGAUCGAGAUUUGUGUUAUCAGUUGGUUAAUCCAAAGAUUUUAGGCAUUGAUUAUUUUUUUUAACUAACGGUAACCUGAUGACCUGGUAAUUACGUAAUAUUGGAACAUAAAAUAGAACUUGAGUGAGUUUAAAGAGACAAAAAAAGAUUAAGUGACUUUAGUGAAACAAAAAGGAAACUUGAUCACUAUUCUGUAAGGUU